AGUGAACGCUGGCGGUAGGCCUAACACAUGCAAGUCGAACGGCAGCACAGUAAGAGCUUGCUCUUACGGGUGGCGAGUGGCGGACGGGUGAGGAAUACAUCGGAAUCUACUUUUUCGUGGGGGAUAACGUAGGGAAACUUACGCUAAUACCUCAUACGACCUACGGGUGAAAGCAGUGGAUCUUCGUACCUUGCGCGAUUGAAUGAGCCGAUGUCGGAUUAGCUAGUUGGCGGGGUAAAGGCCCACCAAGGCGACGAUCCGUAGCUGGUCUGAGAGGAUGAUCAGCCACACUGGAGCUGGGACACGGUCCAGACUCCUAAGGGAGGCAGCAGUGGGGAAUAUGGGACAAUGGGCGCAAGCCUGAUCCAGCCAGACCGCGUGGGUGAAGAAGGCCUUCGGGUUGUAAAGACCUUUUGUUGGGAAAGAAAAGCAGCAGGUUAAGAACACGCUGUUCUGACGGUACCCAAAGAAUAAGCACCGGCUAACUUCGUG
rnacentral:rRNA from 1 species